rnacentral:rRNA from 1 species
UACGAAGGGGGCUAGCGUUGCUCGGAAUCACUGGGCGUAAAGCGCACGUAGGCGGUUUUUUAAGUCAGGGGUGAAAUCCUGGAGCUCAACUCCAGAACUGCCUUUGAUACUGAGAGCUUGAGUCCGGGAGAGGUGAGUGGAACUGCGAGUGUAGAGGUGAAAUUCGUAGAUAUUGCAAGAACACCAGUGGCGAAGGCGGCUCACUGGCCGGUACUGACGCUGAGGUGCGAA